rnacentral:rRNA from 1 species
UGACUUUGACCUUGUGGCUUCAAGUGGGAUUGUAGCUGGCCUUCACUGGCAUGUGCUCGCCUGCUUGCUGCUGCAACUUUCUUUGUCCACCUGUGCACCUAUUGUAGGCUAGGAUACUUGUCCAGCUCGGUGUAGUCUUUUGUUAGGCUUGCAUCAAGCUUGGUUUGGGAGGUGUGCGCUUGCGCUCCCUCUGCCUUCCUAGCCUAUGUUUACACAAACUCUAAUUGUAUGUCUUGAAUGUCGUUUGUUUUAAUGGACGCGAGUCCUAUAGAACUUUAUACAACUUUCAGCAACGGAUCUCUUGGCUCUCGCAUCGAUGAAGAACGCAGCGAAAUGCGAUAACUAAUGUGAAUUGCAGAAUUCAGUGAAUCAUCGAGUCUUUGAACGCACCUUGCACCCUUUGGUAUUCCGAAGGGUAUGCCUGUUUGAGUGUCAUUAAAUUCUCAACCUCCCUCACUUUGUUGUGAGCUGGCGGAUUGGAACGUGGGGGCUUGCUGGAGCACUAGCUUCAGCUCCUCUGAAAUGCAUUAGCAGAAUCUAUGCUUCCUUGUGUUUGAGGGGCUUGCUGCGGCUGUGAUAAUAUCUACAGUCGAUUGGCUUGCUUGACGCUUGGGUUUUGAAGGGAUGCCUACGGCGCCCUUUGCCUUCUCCUAAUACGAGAUACCUGUCCCUAGCGUUGUUCCUUGUUGCAAGAACUGGGUGUAGUCAAUUCAGCUUCUAACCGUCUCUAAUCGCGGAGACAGCUUCUUGACCAUUUGACCUCAAAUCAGGUAGGACUACCCGCUGAACUUAAGCAUAUCAAUAAGCGGAGGAAAAGAAACUAACAAGGAUUCCCCUAGUAACUGCGAGUGAAGAGGGAAAAGCUCAAAUUUAAAAUCUGGCAGCUUCGCUGUCCGAGUUGUAAUUUAGAGAAGUGUUGCCCGCGCUGGACCGUGUACAAGUCUCCUGGAAUGGAGCGUCAUAGAGGGUGAGAAUCCCGUCUUUGACACGGACUACCAGUGCAUUGUGGUGCGCUCUCAAAGAGUCGCGUUGUUUGGGAAUGCAGCGCUAAAUGGGUGGUAAAUUCCAUCUAAAGCUAAAUAUUGGCGAGAGACCGAUAGCAAACAAGUACCGUGAGGGAAAGAUGAAAAGAACUUUGGAAAGAGAGUUAAACAGUACGUGAAAUUGCUGAAAGGGAAACGCUUAAAGUCCAGUCGCGUCUGCUGGGAAUCAGUCUUGCUUCUGCUUGAUGUACUUCCUAGUAGACGGGUCAGCAUCAGUUUUGACCGUUGGAUAAAGGCUGAGGGAAUGUGGCUCCCCCGGGAGUGUUAUAGCCCUUGGUUGUAUACAACGGUUGGGACUGAGGAACUCAGCACGCCGCAAGGCCGGGUCU